UGCAGCAGCAGCUCGCCUCCUCUCCUCCCCUCGGGCCUCCUGACAGCACUGCCUCCGUCUGAAGCUGCGACUCAUAUUCAUCCUCGCCCGGUGGAGACUACCUACUUGUUUCAGCACACAGGUCGCCAUGCAUUGUUUUUUUUGUUUUUUUUAUAGCAGGAGCAGCUUACCGUCUGCCAGUCUCCUUCUCUCCACCUGUACCGGGAGGGGCAGUCAGCCACCCGGCAGCUCUGGCUGGACGCUGGUCUGGAGCGCCGGGAGCAGCCGGUCUCCUGCGGGCUUCGUCGGUCUCCGGCCUGGCAGAACACCUCCCGCCGCUGGAUGCCGUCGCCACACGAUGCUGAACACUGAAAAAAUGUGAAGAAAUGUUGGAGCCUGGAAAGUGGAUGGGUUUGUGAAGCUGUGUUUUCAGAAAUCCUUUAUUAUUAGACCCACAACGGACUACAACAACAAUGUUGAUGAUUAUGAACAACCUGCACUACACUGAUGUUAAUGGAUGGCAUAAUAUAUACAUAGACUUUAUUAUUAUACUGCAUGAGAGUUUGUAAACGUAUGUUUUUUAUAUAGUUUUGCUGUUGUUUAAACGUGGCCCCCAUUUACUUCAAUUCAUAAAGACUUUGGAUUCUUCAUUCACCGUGGAGGUAUGCGAGAAUUCAAGAAUUCAAGGUAACACAUAAUUGAUAUACAAAUGAUUAUUUUUGGGGUGAACUAUUCCUUUAAGGGUGCAUGAAGUGAUAAACACAUAUGCAGAUGAGCAAGCUGAGGUUCCAGAGUUUCAAAAUGAAUCUAUACAAAUAGACAUUCAUAUGUGACACAACUUUACAUAUUCCACUGUGUGUUAUCUGCCAUGCCGUUUCAGCAGUUGAACCAUCUUGCAGCCUGCUGCAUGAUGGGUAAACAUGCUGUACUUGACUGAGUGUGUUUGAAUACUCAUACUGACGUACUGCUUGCUGCAUCAACCAGUAUGUACUGCAUACUGCAUAAUCAAUUGACAAUUAAGUAUGCCAAUACCAGCAGCAUAUAUACAGUAUGUGUACAACCCAGUUCCCCCAAGAACCAUCUGCCUUGUAAUCCAUCGUACAGUCUAAAGGGACGCGAUGCACUUUUGGACGGUUGAGCAUGUCCAGUAAGCUCAUGUCCAUUACACAGAAAUUCUUGCUUGUCUAGUAUACAUCUGGGCAUUUCUCGUGUACACAAAAUCUACAUACUAUGCCGUUGGAACACACUACAUUCUCAAGUUUACAUCAUACUUAGUAUGAAUAGUAUGUAAGUAUGCAAUUUCGAACAGAGUCUAAGAGCCUCGUGUGGAGUAUCAUUUUCUCCUGGCAUGUGUCCCGCUCCACAGCUGUUUCAGAGCAAACGCACAUCCUCUCUGACAUGUGGAGCACAGAUGUGGCUCUGUGCUCGGACUCUUGGCCAUUGGGGUGAUUUCAGAAAAGAGGACAGUGGAAAAGAUGGAGAUAAAAAAAACGAGACAUGGAGAGUGAAGGGAGGGGAAGAAAAAGCGAACAGGCACCAGACGGUCUCUGCAGCAGCCCAGGUGCACGUUGUGAGUGUGUGGCAUGUUUAGUAGGGUAUUCAAAGAAAAGACUCACAUGUGGUUCCCAUUGGGGAGGCAGAAGAUGGAGAGG